UUUUUCCUUGCUAAUUGAUUAUGAAGACUCAUCUGAAAUAUUUAUAAAUAUUGAAGACAAUUUGCUUAAUUUAACAGACAUUCAAAAUAUACAAUUAUUUUGUCAUAUUGUGAAAAUAAGAAUAAUUCUUGAUAUUAUUUUGAAAGAAAAUUUACCCAAUAAGCCCAAUAAAUUAUAUACAUUUUCAAUACCUGGCCAAAUUGAUCAAACAUUAAUAAAGAAUUUACAUGAUGCAAUAAUCCAUAAAUACAAAACUCAAUUAGAAAGCAGAAUUGCGUGGCUUGAAAUAUUUGUCAAAUUGUUGAACAACUCUAAUGUAAAACUUUAUUGUCCCAAUGAAAAGUUUUUUACAGUUAAAUAUACCUUUCAAAACCC